GAUCACAGCAGGAGAUCAGAGGCGGGACUUCCGAGCCGACAGAAUUAACGUUUCUCCUUGAUUUAAAAACUUCAGCUUUCCAUUUCAAAGCAAGGCAACAGUGGGAGCUCAGAGGACUGAAAUGGACUGGUUCCACUGUAAUCAUUGCUUCACAAGGAGUGGUUCAAAGUUCGCUGUGUCCAGCUGUGGCCACAUCUGCUGUGAAGCAUGCAUUAAAUCUAAGCAGUGCAGCGUAUGUGGGGCCAGCUGCAGUUAUCUGCCCAUCACAGAUGAGAUGAAGCCUCAGGAAAAGGUGUUUUUCAAGGACCCUGUGAAGCUCAUCCAGUCACGACUCGAUCACAUCUCGCAGAUUGCGCUCUUUCAGAGGACACACAUGGAGAGAGUCACAGCGCACUUCAAACACAAGUCUGUUGAACUGGAAAGGCGUCUGAAGGAAGUCACUGAGCAGGGUUACAGGCAACUCUCCGAGCUGAAAAGAGAAAACGAUGACUUAAAAAAGCAGCUUUCAGAGCUGAGAAGAGAGACUGCUGAUUUGAAAAAGCCACUUUCUCAGCGGAGGCUUGUACACUUUCUGUUUGCCACAGGUUUCUCCAGGACAAUUUCAUACAGAUGGAAGUCAGAGACUGUCACUCCCUGUGGCUGUCACCUCCCCAGUUACCCCACGUUCAAGACCUAUGGGUUACUUAGGCUCAGCAGAGUCUCAAGUGUGGACCAGAGACAGAGGUCCCAGUUUAUCCUCGGUCAGAACUCCUGGAUCAGCUACCUCUCUAUCAAGCCAUAGUUCUCAGGGGUCACAUGUACACAGAACACCUACAUCCUACUCCACUCCUACAAGAAAUCGGCGUCAGACUCCUAACGUCUUCCAGUACCAGUUUAUGAGUGGAUUAUCAAUACAGUCACCCAGACGUUGAUAAAGGCACCCAACACUUCUGGGGACAACUUUUAUCAGUUAAGGAGUCUUCAAGCUUUCAUAUUUGUUAUCAUUAGGACUGUCAGUUUGUUGAAGAUACAUUUAUGUUAAUACCAAGUAACAGUUUGUACCAGUGAUUGAAUAUAUGGCAUUAAUUUUAGGCAUUUUAUAAUUAAGUUUAAAUGGAUGUUCUGCUGAUUUUACCAUGUGGUUCCUCUGUUUAUACAUUUUCGGCAUUCGUUUAUUAUUAGAAUAAUUUCUGCAGACUGCUUUUGCUAAACAUACAUAAAAUGCACACUGAUAAAAUAAUUAAAAUUU